rnacentral:rRNA from 1 species
GAUGAACGCUAGCGGCAGGCCUAACACAUGCAUGUCGAGGGGCAGCACAGAAACAGCAAUGUUUUGGUGGCGACCGGCGGACGGGUGCGUAACGCGUAUGCAACCUACCUUUAACAGGGGGAUAACGGAGAGAAAUUUCCACUAAUACCCCAUAACAUCGAUCAAGGCAUCUUGAUUGGUUGAAAACUCCGGUGGUUAAAGAUGGGCAUGCGUUGUAUUAGGUAGUUGGUGAGGUAAUGGCUCACCAAGCCUACGAUACAGAGGGGGACUGAGAGGUUGGCCCCCCACACUGGUACGGAGAAACGGACCAGACUCCGACGGGAGGCAGCAGUGAGGAAUAUUGGUCAAUGGGGGCAACCCUGAACCAGCCAUGCCGCGUGCAGGAAGACGGCUCUAUGAGUUGUAAACUGCUUUUAAACAGGGAUAAAGCACAGUAUGUAUACUGUGUUGAAGGUACUGUAAGAAUAAGGAUCGGCUAACUCCGUGCCAGCAGCCGCGGUAA